UAACCCGCGUGCGACGUACACACACCAUUAAGAUUGAAGGUUGAAAAUAGAAUAAUGUCGUGGUACUGAUUACCUACAUCAUACAUAACACUACGUAGAAGCAGUCCUAUAUAAACAACAACUUUCCAAACUUCCGCAACUAACCAACAUCACGAGA
rnacentral:misc_RNA from 1 species